UCAUCAGGCGUCGUUCGAGUAGCUCAAUUUCCAGCGUUGAGGAUCUUGAAGAUGAAAAAUUGGAUGACGCAAAGUCCCAGAAGAAGUUAAAUACUGAAGGUGAAAAUCCUAAAAUUAAAAAAUUAAGAAGUCACCUAAGGAGCCAGAUACCACUGUUCAGCAAAGUGAGGUCUCCAAGUCGGAGGUGGUGGAAGAAGUUAUUGAGAAGACUGGCUCAUACAAAUCAUUUACCAUUAAGAAGACUGGUAAAUUGAUUUCAAUGGACUUACAUUAUAUCAACGAGUAUUCAUAUUGCACUAUACAGGUUUUGAAAGAAUUAAUUCAAGCCUUCAAACAAUUUUCAAAGGAUAAAGAUUGUAAUGUGGUGUCAAUCACGUCAAGCAGUAAAUCUUUUUGCUUGGGCUUGGACUAUAAAAGCCUAGUAGCAGAUUCCCCAGAUUUAAGGAAAAAGAAAGCUGUUGAGUUGUCUGGGUACCUUAAAGAUUUUUUAAAGUGCCUUUUAAAUUUUCCCAAAGUUUUGG